CCCCCCAUAACAGAUUCAGAGCCAUGCGGGUACUUUCAUCGUCGGUGAAGGCAAAGAUAGGAGGAUUUGGGCGGUUGCGUGAUAGAAGUGAUGCCAUGUGUCCAUGCUUCGUGUACACAAAGAUGGCAUCCACACCAAGAAUACAUAAUAGAAUCAAGUGACAAGAAGAAUAUGAAGUACCCAUUUCAACGGCACAAUCACAUAUUUGCUCAGUGAUGCAUUCUGGCAAUUCUGCUCCAAGUUGGUGAUGGUUGAGAAGAUUCUGCUUGUUCUCCUCCCGAUUCCAUGAUUCCAUUCUACUGCUAGUCAUAUCCAAGACUGCCAAAGCUUUACGCCCAUAUGACCCAAUAGCUGAUUCACCAGACAACAUCAAAGCAUCAGCAUACUGUCGAACUGCUUCAGAAACAUCUGCUACCUAUUAAAUAAAAGCAAAUAUUUGUGAGGUAAGAACAGAAAUCCAAUACCGAACUGGAAACAUAUCAUCAUAGAAUGGAAUUCUGUCUUAGUUUCCUAGUAACAUGUCUUCUCAAUCUAAGAUAUUGUUUAUUCAACCAA